GUAUAUCUUUAAAAUUAAUUAAAUGAUUAUCAGUCAAGUGUUCAUUUUGUUUCCACAUAAAGAUUUAACAUUGGGACAGAAAAUUGGUUUGAAAUUGGUUAUACUGAUCCAUACAAGAAAAAAUAAACAAAAAUCAUGACCCAAAAAAGAAUUUCUCCCCUUCAAAAGUCACCACUUUUUUCCAUUUUUUCAUAUAUAAAUCAAUAUUUCAAAAUUCAUUAAUGAUCCUUCCGCAGGUUCACCUACGGAAA
rnacentral:misc_RNA from 1 species